AACUUGGAGAAAAGAGGGGAAAAAAAUAAGAGAGGAAAAUUGGCAUAGCUAGGGAUUUUAUCCCUUGAAAUCUUGUUCCAAAAUUAAUUCUUCUAAUAUUCCAAGCAAGUUGAAGGCCCUAAUCAACAUAGAGAGAUUUUUGGAACAAGAAGACUAUUCAUUCUUGCAAGGCACAAUUCUAACAAGUUGAAGAACUAAGUGGAAAAGAUUUUGGAAAGGCCAAGAGUUAGGUGGGGUGACUAAGGAAGCGGACAAGGUACACACAGACAAGUAGAAGUUACUAUAGAAGAUGUUCCAGCAGGGUUAGC